rnacentral:lncRNA from 1 species
GGACGCAACACGAGGACUUCCCAGGAGGUCACCCAUCCUAGUACUACUCUCGCCCAAACUCGCUUAACUUCGGAGUUCUUAUGGGAUCCGGUGCUUGUGAGUUGGUAUGAUCGCAUCCGUUAGCUUGUAACGCCAAAUUGUAUAAGAGCCACGUUUGUGCCGUGCCAUGUGACCAUGGGUUGGCUAUCCAACGCCCCCCUCCGGGCCGCGUGAAAUCACAUGCCGUCGCAUGGAAUGUCAGGCCUUGUCAUCCCCACCCCGGCCCUGUGCCACGGGCAGGCCUGUCGAGGCCCCGGUUCCAAUCGGCCGCGGGGCCUAGCUAACGACAAUUGAACCGAAAAGAAGUUCCCCAACAGUUUCGGCAGUGCGUCGGUCCCGCUGUUUUUUCGUUUUCGUUCCUUUCCGGAGCCUAGUUAGUUGGAGGCGAGCUCCAUGGGGUGACGUAGGACAGAUGGCGGAAGCAACUGAAGAGGAGCUGGAGCGGCGCGCGUGAAGCGGCAAGUCGGGUAAACCGCAGAUCUGGGCUUCGACCUCAGAAUUGGGCACACGAACCCUCGGCCGGAAGAGAACGGCGUCACGAGUAAAACUCAUCGCGUUGCCAUGACCUGUGGGCUUUUUCGGGCAUCCGACAUCGUUUACUAGCCCGAAAUCCAAUUCUCGCAGUUUUCGAAAACUCUGUUAUUUUCCCACUUCAAUUCCGCUGUUAAUCCAAGGCUUUCUAGGAGUAUUUGAGCAAACUUUACCCAGAUUGCCACGCUGCGUCACGGGGCCGCGGAAAAACAAAGAACAGCCACGGCGGAAAGCGGACGCCCGCGACAAUCGAAACGUCAAAAAAGCAAAAGGGAGGGGAUGCAACACGAGGACUUCCCAGGAGGUCACCCAUCCUAGUACUACUCUCGCCCAAACUCGCUUCACUUCGGAGUUCUGAUGGGAUCCGGUGCAUGUGAGUUGGUAUGAUCGCAUCCGUUAGCCUGUAACGCCAAAUUGUAUAAGAGCCACGUUUGUGCCGUGCCAUGUGACCAUGGGUUGGCUAUCCAACGCCCCCCUCCGGGCCGCGUGAAAUCGCAUGCCGUCGCAUGGAAUGUCAGGCCUUGUCGUCCCCACCCCGGUCCUGUGCCACGGGCAGGCCUGUCGAGGCCCCGGUUCCAAUCGGCCGCGGGGCCUAGCUAACGACAAUUGAACCGAAAAGAAGUUCCCCAACAGUUUCGGCAGUGCGUCGGUCCCGCUGUUUUUUCGCUUUCGUUCCUUUCCGGAGCCUAGUUAGUUGGAGGCGAGCUCCACGGGGUGACGUAGGACAGAUGGCGGAAGCAACUGAAGAGGAGCUGGAGCGGCGCGCGUGAAGCGGCAAGUCGGGUAAACCGCAGAUCUGGGCUCCGACCUCAGAAUUGGGCACACGAACCCUCGGUCGGAAGAGAACGGCGUCACGAGUAAAACUCAUUGCGUUGCCAUGACCUGUGGGCUUUUUCGGGCAUCCGACAUCGUUUACUAGCCCGAAAUCCAAUUCUCGCAGUUUUCGAAAACUCUGUUAUUUUCCCACUUCAAUUCCGCUGUUAAUCCAAGGCUUUCUAGGAGUAUUUGAGCAAACUUUACCCAGAUUGCCACGCUGCGUCACGGGGCCGCGGAAAAACAAAGAACAGCCACGGCGGAAAGCGGACGCCCGCGACAAUCGAAACGUCAAAAAAGCAAAAGGGAGGGGAUGCAACACGAGGACUUCCCAGGAGGUCACCCAUCCUAGUACUACUCUCGCCCAAACUCGCUUAACUUCGGAGUUCUGAUGGGAUCCGGUGCAUGUGAGUUGGUAUGAUCGCAUCCGUUAGCUUGUAACGCCAAAUUGUAUAAGAGCCACGUUUGUGCCAUGCCAUGUGACCAUGGGUUGGCUAUCCAACGCCCCCCUCCGGGCCGCGUGAAAUCACAUGCCGUCGCAUGGAAUGUCAGGCCUUGUCGUCCCCACCCCGGCCCUGUGCCACGGGCAGGCCUGUCGAGGCCCCGGUUCCAAUCGGCCGCGGGGCCUAGCUAACGACAAUUGAACCGAAAAGAAGUUCCCCAACUGUUUCGGCAGUGCGUCGGUCCCGCUGUUUUUCGUUUUCGUCUUUUCCGGAGCAUAGUUAGCUGGAAUGCACGCUGCGUCACGGGGUCGCGGAAAAACAAGAACAGGCCACGGCGGAAAGCGGACGCCCGCGACAAUCGAAACGUCAAAAAAGCAAAAGGGAGGGGAUGCAACACGAGGACUUCCCAGGAGGUCACCCAUCCUAGUACUACUCUCGCCCAAACUCGCUUAACUUCGGAGUUCUGAUGGGAUCCGGUGCAUGUGAGUUGGUAUGAUCGCAUCCGUUAGCUUGUAACGCCAAAUUGUAUAAGAGCCACGUUUGUGCCGUGCCAUGUGACCAUGGGUUGGCUAUCCAACGCCCCCCUCCGGGCCGCGUGAAAUCACAUGCCGUCGCAUGGAAUGUCAGGCCUUGUCGUCCCCACCCCGGCCCUGUGCCACGGGCAGGCCUGUCGAGGCCCCGGUUCCAAUCGGCCGCGGGGCCUGGCUAACACAGUUGAACCGAAAAGAAGUUCCCCAACAGUUUCGGCAGUGCGUCGGUCCCGCUGUUUUUUCGCUUUCGUUCCUUUCCGGAGCCUAGUUAGUUGGAGGCGAGCUCCACGGGGUGACGUAGGACAGAUGGCGGAAGCAACUGAAGAGGAGCUGGAGCGGCGCGCGUGACGCGGCAAGUCGGGUAAACCGCAGAUCUGGGCUCCGACCUCAGAAUUGGGCCCACGAACCCUCGACCGGAAGAGAACGGCGUCACGAGUAAAACUCAUUGCGUUGCCAUGACCUGUGGGCUUUUUCGGGCAUCCGACAUCGUUUACUAGCCCGAAAUGCAAUUCUCGCAGUUUUCGAAAACUCUGUUAUUUUCCCACUUCAAUUCCGCUGUUAAUCCAAGGCUUUCUAGGAGUAUUUGAGCAAACUUUACCCAGAUUGCCACGCUGCGUCACGGGGCCGCGGAAAAACAAAGAACAGCCACGGCGGAAAGCGGACGCCCGCGACAAUCGAAACGUCAAAAAAGCAAAAGGGAGGGGAUGCAACACGAGGACUUCCCAGGAGGUCACCCAUCCUAGUACUACUCUCGCCCAAACUCGCUUAACUUCGGAGUUCUGAUGGGAUCCGGUGCAUGUGAGUUGGUAUGAUCGCAUCCGUUAGCUUGUAACGCCAAAUUGUAUAAGAGCCACGUUUGUGCCGUGCCAUGUGACCAUGGGUUGGCUAUCCAACGCCCCCCUCCGGGCCGCGUGAAAUCACAUGCCGUCGCAUGGAAUGUCAGGCCUUGUCGUCCCCACCCCGGCCCUGUGCCACGGGCAGGCCUGUCGAGGCCCCGGUUCCAAUCGGCCGCGGGGCCUGGCUAACGACAGUUGAACCGAAAAGAAGUUCCCCAACAGUUUCGGCAGUGCGUCGGUCCCGCUGUUUUUUCGCUUUCGUUCCUUUCCGGAGCCUAGUUAGUUGGAGGCGAGCUGCACGGGGUGACGUAGGACAGAUGGCGGAAGCAACUGAAGAGGAGCUGGAGCGGCGCGCGUGAAGCGGCAAGUCGGGUAAACCGCAGAUCUGGGCUCCGACCUCAGAAUUGGGCACACGAACCCUCGGCCGGAAGAGAACGGCGUCACGAGUAAAACUCAUCGCGUUGCCAUGACCUGUGGGCUUUUUCGGGCAUCCGACAUCGUUUACUAGCCCGAAAUCCAAUUCUCGCAGUUUUCGAAAACUCUGUUAUUUUCCCACUUCAAUUCCGCUGUUAAUCCAAGGCUUUCUAGGAGUAUUUGAGCAAACUUUACCCAGAUUGCCACGCUGCGUCACGGGGCCGCGGAAAAACAAAGAACAGCCACGGCGGAAAGCGGACGCCCGCGACAAUCGAAACGUCAAAAAAGCAAAAGGGAGGGGAUGCAACACGAGGACUUCCCAGGAGGUCACCCAUCCUAGUACUACUCUCGCCCAAACUCGCUUAACUUCGGAGUUCUGAUGGGAUCCGGUGCAUGGGAGUUGGUAUGAUCGCAUCCGUUAGCUUGUAACGCCAAAUUGUAUAAGAGCCACGUUUGUGCCGUGCCAUGUGACCAUGGGUUGGCUAUCCAACGUCCCCCUCCGGGCCGCGUGAAAUCACAUGCCGUCGCAUGGAAUGUCAGGCCUUGUCGUCCCCACCCCGGCCCUGUGCCACGGGCAGGCCUGUCGAGGCCCCGGUUCCAAUCGGCCGCGGGGCCUAGCUAACACAGUUGAACCGAAAAGAAGUUCCCCAACAGUUUCGGCAGUGCGUCGGUCCCGCUGUUUUUUCGCUUUCGUUCCUUUCCGGAGCCUAGUUAGUUGGAGGCGAGCUCCACGGGGUGACGUAGGACAGAUGGCGGAAGCAACUGAAGAGGAGCUGGAGCGGCGCGCGUGAAGCGGCAAGUCGGGUAAACCGCAGAUCUGGGCUCCGACCUCAGAAUAGGGCACACGAACCCUCGGCCGGAAGAGAACGGCGUCACGAGUAAAACUCAUCGCGAUGCCAUGACCUGUGGGCUUUUUCGGGCAUCCGACAUCGUUUACUAGCCCGAAAUCCAAUUCUCGCAGUUUUCGAAAACUCUGUUAUUUUCCCACUUCAAUUCCGCUGUUAAUCCAAGGCUUUCUAGGAGUAUUUGAGCAAACUUUACCCAGAUUGCCACGCUGCGUCACGGGGCCGCGGAAAAACAAAGAACAGCCACGGCGGAAGCGGACGCCCGCGACAAUCGAAACGUCAAAAAAGCAAAAGGGAGGGGAUGCAACACGAGGACUUCCCAGGAGGUCACCCAUCCUAGUACUACUCUCGCCCAAACUCGCUUAACUUCGGAGUUCUGAUGGGAUCCGGUGCAUGUGAGUUGGUAUGAUCGCAUCCGUUAGCUUGUAACGCCAAAUUGUAUAAGAGCCACGUUUGUGCCGUGCCAUGUGACCAUGGGUUGGCUAUCCAACGCCCCCCUCCGGGCCGCGUGAAAUCACAUGCCGUCGCAUGGAAUGUCAGGCCUUGUCGUCCCCACCCCGGCCCUGUGCCACGGGCAGGCCUGUCGAGGCCCCGGUUCCAAUCGGCCGCGGGGCCUGGCUAACACAGUUGAACCGAAAAGAAGUUCCCCAACAGUUUCGGCAGUGCGUCGGUCCCGCUGUUUUUUCGCUUUCGUUCCUUUCCGGAGCCUAGUUAGUUGGAGGCGAGCUCCACGGGGUGACGUAGGACAGAUGGCGGAAGCAACUGAAGAGGAGCUGGAGCGGCGCGCGUGACGCGGCAAGUCGGGUAAACCGCAGAUCUGGGCUCCGACCUCAGAAUUGGGCCCACGAACCCUCGACCGGAAGAGAACGGCGUCACGAGUAAAACUCAUUGCGUUGCCAUGACCUGUGGGCUUUUUCGGGCAUCCGACAUCGUUUACUAGCCCGAAAUCCAAUUCUCGCAGUUUUCGAAAACUCUGUUAUUUUCCCACUUCAAUUCCGCUGUUAAUCCAAGGCUUUCUAGGAGUAUUUGAGCAAACUUUACCCAGAUUGCCACGCUGCGUCACGGGGCCGCGGAAAAACAAAGAACAGCCACGGCGGAAAGCGGACGCCCGCGACAAUCGAAACGUCAAAAAGCAAAGGGAGGGGAUGCAACACGAGGACUUCCCAGGAGGUCACCCAUCCUAGUACUACUCUCGCCCAAACUCGCUUAACUUCGGAGUUCUGAUGGGAUCCGGUGCAUGUGAGUUGGUAUGAUCGCAUCCGUUAGCUUGCAACGCUAAAAGUAUAUAAGCCACGCCAAAUGGCCUGCCUAACGACAAUUGAACGCGAAAAACCCCCGAUAAUUCCGGCAGUGCGUCGGUCCCGCUCCUUCCGACACCCAGUUGAUUGGAGACGGGCUCCUCGAGGUGACGUCGGAAGCAGUUGAAGAGCAGCUGGAGCGACGCGCGUAUCGGGUGAACCGCAUAUCUGGGCUCCGACCUCAGAAUCAGGCCCACGAGCAGUCGAUUUGAAGAGAACGGCGUCACGAGUAAAACUCAUGGCGCUGCCAUGACUGACGGGCUUUUUCGGGCAUCCGACACCGUUUGCUGGGGCGAAAUUCAGUUUCGGGAAACUUUGUCACUUUCGUAUUUUGAUUCCGUUGUGGGCUUUCUGGGAGUAUUUAAGCGUACUUUAUCCCCGAUUGCCACGCUGCGUCACGGGGUCGUGGAAAAACAAAGACAGCCAGAUGAAUAAGACGACGGAAAGCAAACGCCCACGACAAUUCAAACGUCAAAAAGACAUAAAGAGGAGACGCAACACGAGGACUUCCCAGGAGGUCACCCAUCCUAGUACUACUCUCGCCCAAACUCUCUUAACUUCGGAGUUCUGGUGGGAUCCGGUGCAUGUGAGUUGGUAUGAUCGCAUCCGUUGGCUUACAACGCCUAAAAGUAUAUAAGCCACGUUUGAGCCAUGCCAUAUGGCCUACCUAACGACAAUUGAACGCGAAAAAACCCCCGAUAAUUCCGACAGUGCGUCGGUCCCGCUCCUUUCCGGCACCCAGUUAAUUGGAGACGGGCACCUCGGGGUGACGUCGGAAGCAGUUGAAGAGGAGCUGGAGCGACGCGCGUAUCGGGUAAACCUCAUAUCUGUGCUCCGACCUCAG